rnacentral:rRNA from 1 species
AGGCUUAACACAUGCAAGUCGAGCGCCCCGCAAGGGGAGCGGCAGACGGGUGAGUAACGCGUGGGAACGUACCCUUUACUACGGAAUAACGCAUGGAAACGUGUGCUAAUACCGUAUGUGCCCUUUGGGGGAAAGAUUUAUCGGUAAAGGAUCGGCCCGCGUUGGAUUAGCUAGUUGGUGGGGUAAAGGCCUACCAAGGCGACGAUCCAUAGCUGGUCUGAGAGGAUGAUCAGCCACAUUGGGACUGAGACACGGCCCAA